rnacentral:rRNA from 1 species
GACGAACGCUGGCGGCGUGCUUAACACAUGCAAGUCGAACGGAAAGGCCCUGCUUUUGUGGGGUGCUCGAGUGGCGAACGGGUGAGUAACACGUGAGUAACCUGCCCUUGACUUUGGGAUAACUUCAGGAAACUGGGGCUAAUACCGGAUAGGAGCUCCUGCUGCAUGGUGGGGGUUGGAAAGUUUCGGCGGUUGGGGAUGGACUUGCGGCUUAUCAGCUUGUUGGCGGGGUAGUGGCUUACCAAGGCUUUGACGGGUAGCCGGCCUGAGAGGGUGACCGGCCACAUUGGGACUGAGAUACGGCCCAGACUCCUACGGGAGGCAGCAGUGGGGAAUAUUGCACAAUGGGCGGAAGCCUGAUGCAGCAACGCCGCGUGCGGGAUGACGGCCUUCGGGUUGUAAACCGCUUUCGCCUGUGACGAAGCGUGAGUGACGGUAAUGGGUAAAGAAGCACCGGCUAACUACGUG